rnacentral:rRNA from 1 species
GAAUAUUGGUCAAUGGGCGAGAGCCUGAACCAGCCAUGCCGCGUGUAGGAUGACGGCCUUCUGGGUUGUAAACUACUUUUCUACAGGAAGAAAAAGGCUAUGCGUAGCCAAUUGACGGUACUGUAGGAAUAAGCACCGGCUAACUCCGUGCCAGCAGCCGCGGUAAUACGGAGGGUGCGAGCGUUGUCCGGAUUUAUUGGGUUUAAAGGGUGCGUAGGCGGUUAAUUAAGUCAGCGGUGAAAGACUACAGCUCAACUGUAGCAGUGCCAUUGAUACUGGUUAACUUGAGUACUGUUGAGGUAUUUGGAAUUUAUAGUGUAGCGGUGAAAUGCAUAGAUACUAUAAGGAACACCGAUAGCGUAGGCAGAAUACUAAGCAAUAACUGACGCUGAGGCACGAAAGCGUGGGUAGCGAACAGG